CUAAAUUCCAGUCGAUGAUUUUGACACUUCUCAAGUUGCUUUCCCUCUUCACAUGUUUAAAUCUAAUGGUGGAAAGCAGGGCGUCUAGUGCGUAACCGCGCGUAAUCAAAGAAGCGGCAGGACGCGCGAAGACGCACAACACAGAUGCGAUCAAAUGAGUUCACGGAGUUUACUGUGGGAUUCGGCUUUCUCUUUGUCCCACAGCACAAGAACCCUUCGUCAGGACGUCCUGAAGUUUACUGGAACGCUGAAGGAACUGGUUUAGAGACCGUGCACGGAUCUCAAAGUCCCAAACACUGAACAGAACUACUAAAACGAUCUCCUGGUGUGUUUUUAAGGUCACGUCCCGUGCCAGAUUUGGAUGAAGAGUGGCCCAAACAGAAGGACACAGCUUCAGUCAGACUCACUUUACAAGGCUGUCAGAGACGCAAGCGUCAGCUGCGAGAAACGACACAUGGAGCUGGAGAAAUUUUGUGGGCUUGAUGAACAUCUUCACCGGUGAGCGGCCGAAUCCACCUUGACCCACAGCCCACCCCAGCACAGUGCCGGGCCCCUCAGAGCACUGAAAACCUGCGGGAUUUGCCAUUUGGAAGUACUGACCUGCAACUUACCCAUUCCCGAUCUGUUCGGACAAGAGAUUCAGGAGUGAAGCUGCUCCGCUUUGGGACAGGUGCCAGUUGCAAAAGGCGAGUGAAAAUAUCAGUGAUCUGCAUGAGGAAACAUUGGGAGUGAGCGGAAAACACAAACUCACAAACAUCCGUGCAACUAUCGCAGAAAAAAGUGAAGGUUGCGAGGGUAAGGGAAGACACAGAAAAAGUGGAUCAUGAAAGAAGAGGUGGGGGGUGUUUAUUCAAGCCUGCUUGAUGCUCCUCGGGCCUUCAAGACCUGAUAGCAUGUGCCGUGGUAACUGUGGGACUAUUUGCAUGCGGCAGACACGCUAAUUGUGUGUUUGCUAACACGCACCAUUCAGCAACAAGCACUCCGGUCCACAGACGGGGUUCACACACGCCUCCCAGACGCCCCGGAGGCCUCCUAUUGUUCCAGAGGCCCAGCCAAGCAGCCGGUGUGCCUAACCAGAGCCCUGCGCUGGCCUGCCGAGAGGGGAAACUGGAAUUCGAGACCAGACGGGAUAGCGGGAUAGUGGACAGGCUCACAGCCCCUCUCUCUCUUUCUCUCCGCAGCAGGAAAAAAGAGGCCUGUGGAAAGCGCUGCCUCCGGGCGCUGACGUCCUCGCAGAUGUGUGCACAAGAGAAGUUGCAAGAUGCUGCCCUGCACAGGAUCACUAUAAUCACAUGAUCACUGCAAUCGUCAUUAUAUGGAAAGAGCAGAAAGAAGAAAAUCCUCCUUAUGUGUUUCACAGACGAGUUUGAGCAACAUGCGGGCGGAAGAAGAGACGCACAAUGAUGAGACUGAGACGAGUU